UAAGGAAUAUUGGACAAUGGACGCAAGUCUGAUCCAGCCAUGCCGCGUGAAGGAUGAAUGCCCUCUGGGUUGUAAACUUCUUUUAUAGGGGAAGAAAGAUACUUUUUUUAAGGUAGUUGACGGUACCCUAUGAAUAAGCACCGGCUAACUCCGUGCCAGCAGCCGCGGUAAUACGGAGGGUGCAAGCGUUAUCCGGAUUUACUGGGUUUAAAGGGUGCGUAGGCGGGCAUGUAAGUCAGUGGUGAAAUACCGGAGCUUAACUUCGGAACUGCCAUUGAUACUAUAUGUCUUGAAUAUUGUGGAGGUAAGCGGAAUAUGUCAUGUAGCGGUGAAAUGCAUAGAUAUGACAUAGAACACCGAUUGCGGAGGCAGCUUGCUACGCAAACAUUGACGCUGAGGCACGAAAGCGUGGGGAUCAAACA
rnacentral:rRNA from 1 species